CUGAAGACUAAAGGAACAGAGGUAAGUGGAACAGCAAAACUGUAAAACAUUUAGCCAAUUUUAGCCACCAAUUUCAAAUAGGGAAAGACUCUUAAACAGAGUGUAGUAGUAGUACAGGGGUGCUGACUGCUCUGUCAAAGGUGGUGAGGCAAUGGCAAAGGUUGCCCAAAGAAGCUGUGGAUGCCCCAUCCCUGGAGCUGCUCAAAGUCAGGUUGGAUGAGGCUUUAUGCAAAGUGAUCUAGUGGUAGAUCUCCCUGUACAUGACAAAGUAUUGGAAAUAGAUUUUCUUUAAGGUCCCUUCUAACUCAAAGCAGUCUAUUAACCUUUGAUUAUAAGAUUCUUUUUUUCUGUUUGUUUACUUGAUUUUCCUCUAUAAAGAAACAGAAAAGAUGUCCCUGUUGACAAAUUAACAGAUUUUUUUUUUUUCAAGGAAACCAUUGUAAAUUCCAUUCCCCCUUACUUAUUUCUAAAACUUUCCCAAAAAGUAGCAAAUCAUGACCUCCAUAUCUAAAAUUCAGUAAUUGCAGGUACAAAAAAAAAAAAAAAAAAAAAAAAGGUUCUGUAGAAGUCCAGACAAGGAAAGUUUACUUUAAUUUUAGAACAUGAACUGCAUUGAACUGCAUGUUGCACAGAUGUAGAACUUACUAGUUAACACUGCAACAUUGAAGUGGAAAGGAGUUAUUUUUGGUAGAAUGCCUGAGCCUUCACUAUUAUUUGAUAAAUAAGCUGCUCCCCAUAAAAUAAAAGGCCUUAUCUUAACUUCAAAGACUCAAUUUACUCCAGUGUGUCAAAUGCACUUAAAAUAUCACCUCUUCCUUCAACCAGCUUGUUGGUGCCAUGGACAUGGACUCCUGGAGAGAAGAAGUCUGCAAGCAUAGAAUCAUAGAAUCAUACAAUGGCCUGGGUUGAAAAGGACCACAAUGAUCAUCCAGUUUUAACCCCCCUGCUAUGUGCAAGGUCGCCAACCACCAGACCAGGCUGCCCAGAGCCACAGCCAGCCUGGCCUUGAAUGCCUCCAGGGAUGGGGCAUCCACAACCUCCUUGGGCAACCUGUUCCAGUGCUUUACCACCCUCUGUAUGAAAAACUUCUGCCUAAUAUCUAACCUAAACCUCCCCUGUCUCAGUUUAAGACCAUUCCCCCUUGUCCUAUCACUAUCCACACUCAUAAAUAGCCAUUCCCCUUCCUGCUUAUAAGUUUCCCUCAAGUACUGAAAGGCCACAAUGAGGUAUCCCCGGAGCCUUCUCUUCUCCAAACUAAACAGGCCCAGUUCCCUCAACCUUUCUUCAUAGGAGAGGUGCUCUAGCCCUCUGAUCAUCUUAGUGGCCCUCCUGUGGACCCACUCCAAGAGCUCCAUGUCCUUCCUGUACUGGGGGCCCCAGGCUUGGAUUCCGUACUCCAGAUGGGGCCUCACAAGAGCUGAGUAGAGGGAGACAAUCACCUCCCUCUCCCUGCUGGCCACCCCUUUUUUAAUGCAGCCCAAAACACAGAUGGUCUUCUGGGCUGCAAGUGCACACUGCUGGCUCAUGUCCCCACCUUCUUGUCCACCAUGACCCCCAAGUUAUUUUCUGUAGGGCUGCUCUCAAAGAUAUCUUCCCCCAGUUUGUAUAAAUACCUGGGAAUGCCCCAACUCAAGUGCAGCACCCUGCACUUGGCCUUGUUGAACCUUAUUAGGUUUUCAUGGGCC
ensembl:lncRNA